CCUACGGGUGGCAGCAGUGGGGAAUAUUGGACAAUGGGGGGAACCCUGAUCCAGCGACGCCGCGUGAGUGAAGAAGUAUUUCGGUAUGUAAAGCUCUAUCAGCAGGGAAGAAAAUGACGGUACCUGACUAAGAAGCUCCGGCUAACUACGUGCCAGCAGCCGCGGUAAUACGUAGGGGGCAAGCGUUAUCCGGAUUUACUGGGUGUAAGGGGAGCGUAGACGGUGCAGCAAGUCUGAUGUGAAAGGUCGGGGCGCAACCCCGGGACUGCAUUGGAAACUGUUGAACUGGAGUGCAGGAGAGGUAAGCGGAAUUCCUAGUGUAGCGGUGAAAUGCGUAGAUAUUAGGAGGAACACCAGUGGCGAAGGCGGCUUACUGGACUGUAACUGACGUUGAGGCUCGAAAGCGUGGGGAGCAAACAGGAUUAGAUACCCCUGUAGUC
rnacentral:rRNA from 1 species